ACUUUUGGAGCGAAGGCAAUCCCGCGCUGUGUUAGCAAAAUUUUCAUGUCAUCGGGUGAAAUUCGUAAAGGUUGAAGUGUGUAUGUUAGGAUGGUAACAUUAUAAUAAUUAAGGAUGAAGUGUGAAUUCAUGCCAGGAAAAAUAAGGGUUAAGUUUGAUUUCCUCCCUUCUGUAAUAAGCAGCAAAUUAGUUAUUUUUCCUUUAUUAUUAAUGUGUUUAAUCUGAUACUGUUAUAGCGCCGGCUAAACUGUUUAUGUAUGUAAGCACUUCAGAGUUAUACCAAGCUAAUAAGUCACUCGUAAGAUACGUUUGUAAGAGUGUGCUUAACUGUAUUUGAAUUUACUUUAGUUCUCACGGAAGGUGAUAAUUCUGACUAAAUCUACAUAAUAAAGCCGCUAGUUAAAAUCAAGGAACGGUUGUGCUCGUGGUUACUGGAGGGAGCUACACCACAACAGGAAUAAGGAUUAUGGAAAGUGUAACAUUUGGCACUGCAGAGGCUAAGAAGACGCAUGGACGUAAUUCAACUUGUAAGCCAAAUUUCAAAAGGAAAUAAUAAAUCCCGAAGCUCAGAUGUCAGACACCGAGGCUGCCAGUACCUCUGGGUCGAUAGUCCAUGUGUUGGAUGAUGAACCACCGUUGAUCAGAACAGACAGCGUAUAUCCACACAGGUCGCACCGACCACUCCCCUUUACUGACCAGUAGGAGAGCCGUGCAGGCGGGCGAGAAGUGCCCCUUUGAAAUGCUCUUGACCCCCUUGGUCCCACUGGAAGACCAGCCUCCUAUCAAGCAGUGGCACAUGCCCGCAUCCCGUGCCAAGGCUGAGCGGGAAUGGGAGAAUAGCCAACGAGGGCGCAGGAAGAGAGUGAAGCCCAUUCACUGGGACGUUAACUUUAAGUCUGGGCCUUUCUUCCCAGUGUGUGUCUCUCCAUCACUGCCCUCGAUCGUGGAGAUGGAUGAAGAGUCUCUUUCUGAAGAGAUGGAGCAAAGCCAGUUGUAAGGGGUCACACACACACACACACACACACAUUCAUUUUUUAAAUUUAUUUUUUUACAUUUAUUUAAAUUGUGAAGUUAGUUAAGAACAAAUUCUUAUUUACAAUGACGACCUACCCCGGCCAAACCCUAACCCAGACGACACUUGGCCAAUUGUGAGCUGCCCUAUGGGACCAGUGCCUUAUACCGCUGCGCUAAUCAGGAGCCCUAUUGAGACUUCAUGACCUCCCAUGGACCAAAGAGGAUCAGCCAGCAUCUGCCCUGCCUGCCAUCCUAGUACCUCCACUGCCCUUUCAACCCCGAACCACAAAGGGCAGGUGACAGAAAUUAUCCAACGCCCACCGAUCCAGGCUGUUGAACAGUGUUCUCUUCCUGAAGAUGGACUGCUUCAACCCCUUGGGAGUAUCCAGAGUAUCUAGUACGCUGGUGUGAUGAUAGAACAUGUCCCUCAGUAUCAACUAGAGAUUAAUAUUAAUCCACUUGUUAUUCUAGUUAGGCAAAUGUUAAUCUAUCAUCACCAUGUUCCAAAGAAUUCUGUUUCUAUAAAGUUUUAUUGCAGUUGAAAAUGAUGUGUGGUGUGUGUUCUUGGUUUCUUGUGAGCUAUGAAGUAUACCCUUUUAGUAGAAUGUUUAUUUCUUCAUUGGAUUUGUUGACCAAAGAGUAGAGGUAAAUGCUGACCGGACUAAUAUAAGUGAAGUUCCGAUUCAAAUUUGUAUUAAUCCGAAGGAGGCACAUCUGACUCACUCCAUAGCGCCAAAAUUCCUCACAUUUUCAAUAUAUAGCAACACUGAUAAAUUCUCAGGUGGAACUAUUUGUACUACAGCAUUGGAAAUGAGGAUCUAUCCAAAGACAGUGUUUAUGAAAUGCGAGAAUGCUGAACAACAUUUUCUGACCAGUAGGCUUGUUUGUCGUAAUAUUUGGCCAAAGUUCUCUUUGCUUGAGUCAAGAGGCCCUGUCUCAACUUGCACAUGUAAGGGAAGCAGACAGCUGCAGAUGAAAUAUAACUGCUGGGUUCUGCGGUAACCAGGUCUCUCUUGCCAAAAGAUCCCACUUUUGCAAGAAAGACCUGAUAGUGCCACAUAAGACAAUGCUUACAUAAAUUAUUCAUUUUAUACGAAUAAAAAGCACCCCUUUAUCUGGAAUAGAUGUAGUGUUGCCUUACGUUUGUGAAAUAUGAAUGACUUUUGCUAAGCCUUCAAACUGUGCUUUGUUUAAAAUACUGUUGGUUGGACUGCGAGGCAGUGACUGUAUCGUUUUUCUUUUGAUCUGAAGCUUGACACUACGACACGUCGUGUCUCAUCCUUCGUCUUUUGAAUAAAAGCUUCAUCCUUCGUCUUUUGAA